GAGUUAUUCAUGCUUCUAUCUCUGAGACAGUCAUCCAGGUAUCAUAGUAUUCCUGCCUUUAUAUAAGUUAGUUUAUAAAGAUCAGGCUGGCAAAGAGGUGUUAUGACAGACGGUACUUUGAAAACAAAGUCUUCACGCUGAUAGCCCUUCUCAAGUACAUUCAAUGAAGGUCAGAUGAGGAUAAAAAACUAACUCUUGACAAUACUGAUAUCUUUCACUUAAGGGUCUUCUGUUUGAUCUGCAGCAAGAAGAAAACACUGCUCCUCGACUACAUGAUGCACUUGGCAAACCCACCACCAGUUGUUAGUGCUUUGGUCAUCAGACUCCACACAGAAUAUAUUCACUACUGCUGCCACCACAGCACCCUCUGACAUGGGCUACUGUGGAGCCUGGGGAGUCUCUUCUGGUGAAUAAUGUAAGUGCCCAGCUAGGGUGAUUACAAGGAGAAAAAGAGUAAUGGCUGCAGAAUGUGAGUGCCAGCUCCCUCAAGAGUUGUGUUUGCCAUCGUAAAAGCAUGAAAAUGUAAUUCUCGUUUUACUUGCCA
rnacentral:lncRNA from 1 species